UAGGGAAUCUUCCGCAAUGGACGAAAGUCUGACGGUGCAACGCCGCGUGAGUGAAGAAGGAUUUCGGUUCGUAAAACUCUGUUGUUAGGGAAGAAAAAAUGUAUAGUAACUAUAUACAAAAGAGACGGUACCUAACCAGAAAGCCACGGCUAACUACGUGCCAGCAGCCGCGGUAAUACGUAGGUGGCAAGCGUUGUCCGGAAUUAUUGGGCGUAAAGCGCGCGCAGGUGGUUUAGAAAGUCUGAUGUGAAAGCCCACGGCUCAACCGUGGAGGGUCAUUGGAAACUAAUAAACUUGAGUGCAGGAGAGAAAAGUGGAAUUCCUAGUGUAGCGGUGAAAUGCGUAGAGAUUAGGAGGAACACCGGUGGCGAAAGCGGCUUUUUGGCCUGCAACUGACACUGAGGCGCGAAAGCGUGGGGAGCAAACAGG
rnacentral:rRNA from 1 species